rnacentral:rRNA from 1 species
GAGUUUGAUCUUGGCUCAGAUUGAACGCUGGCGGCAUGCCUUACACAUGCAGGUCGAACGGCAGCACGGGAGCUUGCUCCUGGUGGCGAGUGGCGAACGGGUGAGUAAUGCAUCGGAACGUAUCCUGGAGUGGGGGAUAACGUAGCGAAAGUUACGCUAAUACCGCAUAUUCUGUGAGCAGGAAAGCGGGGGACCUUCGGGCCUCGCGCUCUUGGAGCGGCCGAUGUCGGAUUAGCUAGUUGGUGAGGUAAAGGCUCACCAAGGCGACGAUCCGUAGCAGGUCUGAGAGGAUGAUCUGCCACACUGGAACUGAGACACGGUCCAGACUCCUACGGGAGGCAGCAGUGGGGAAUUUUGGACAAUGGGGGCAACCCUGAUCCAGCCAUGCCGCGUGAGUGAAGAAGGCC